CUCCCGGAGACUCAACAGCUCUGCUCUCUGGAGCAGAGACACCAUGAUGGACGGAGGCUAGAAUCUUCCCGAUAAGCGCACCUUGGGGUGCUUACACACAUCAUUAGAAAUGGGCUAGUCCAGGCUGAAGCAACCUUUCUGGCACUAUGCAGGAGAUCUAUGCAUGAAGCGAGGGUUACUUUGGAGAGGCUGAAGAGAGAGCAAUGCAGAGGUCUCGAGGGAAGCUUUUUUGGUCCCGAGCUUGUAAACUCAUUGAGAAGCAAAGCUGUCCCCAGGGUACACUGAGUUUGCUUUGCCGCUGGGAGCUGGGCGAGUUCCAGGACGAAGACCGAAGAGCUCAAGGCUCGCACU